ACGACUGCUGCUAAGACUGGAUAGGAAAAGUGAAGGCAUCUUUACUUUUUUAAAAGACCUUCUUUGAAGGUAUGCUUAAGGAGGGGCUUGCGACACAUUAGUUAGUUGGUAGGGUAAAGGCCUACCAAGACUAUGAUGUGUAGCUGGACUGAGAGGUUGAACAGCCACAUUGGGACUGAGACACGGCCCAAACUCCUACGGGAGGCAGCAGUAGGGAAUUUUCGGCAAUGGAGGAAACUCUGACCGAGCAACGCCGCGUGAACGAUGAAGUACCUCGGUAUGUAAAGUUCUUUUAUUAAGGAAGAAAAAAGAGUGGAAAAACUCCCUUGACGGUACUUAAUGAAUAAGCCCCGGCUAAUUAUGUGCCAGCAGCCGCGGUAAUACAUAAGGGGCGAGCGUUACCCGGAAUUAUUGGGCGUAAAGGGUGCGUAGGCUGUUUAAUAAGUUUAUACGCUAUUAAUGUGCCAGCGCGUAUACACUAAGAGCGUGCUAUAGAAACUGUUUUACUAGAGUGAGAUAGAGGCAAGCGGAAAUUCCAUGUGUAGCGGUAAAAUGCGUAAAUAUUAUGGAGGAACACCAGAGGCGUAGGCGGCUUGCUGGGUUCUUUACUGACGCUGAGCCACGAAAGCGUGGGAACCAAACAGGAUUAAAUACCCUGGUUAGUCCACGCCGUUAAACAAUGAAUUACUAAGUGUUCGGGUAAAACCGGUACUAAAGUUAACACAUUAAGUUACUCCGCCUGGAGGAGUACGUUACCCAAGUAUAAAACUUAAAGGAAAUGACGGGACUCCCCACAACCGGUGAAUCAUGUUGUUUUAAUUCGAAGAAAUCCACGAAAACCCUUCCCAGUUCUUACCAUUUUCUUGCAAAUUUAUAAAAAUUUAAUGAAGUUUUUCAGAAAACCAGGGGGUCCAGGUUGUUCUUCAGCUCGUUUCUUAAAAUUUUAGGUUAAUUCUUAAAACAAGCCCACCCCUUUUGGUUAAUUCCCACCAGUUAAUAAGGGGGCCUUUAACAAGACUCCCAAUAAAAAAUGGGGGAAAGGGGGGGAAUUACUUCAAUUCUUCAGCCCCUUUAUAUUUGGGCUUCCAAACGUAAUCCAAUGUUUAAUACAAAAAUUAGUUAAAACGCAAUUUUUUACCCAUUUUCCCAAAUUCAUUUUCAUUUCGAAUGAAAUUUUCCAAUUCAAUUUCAGAAAUUGGAAAUCCUUAUUAUUCGGAAAUCACCAGUUCGGGGGAAAUAGUUCAAGGGGUUUGUACACACCGCCCGUCA
rnacentral:rRNA from 1 species